GGCGAGAGGGACGAGCCGCGAGCUGAUUGGGCGGAGCGGCCCUUCAGGUGCGCAGCCAUUGGAAGAGGCGCGCUCAGAAACCAAACCAUUUUCACCAUGGCACUCCUGUAAUCCAAAUGAUUUCGAGUGGGUUUAAAUUCUGGCACUUCAGGAAAUAAAAAGGCUUCCCUGCUAUCUUUCACAAAAGGGGAAGGCAUGAGUCAAAGUGCUUCCUAUCAACAUUUCCUGCACCUGCAGUUUAAGUUAUAUUAUUUAAGGAGGCAGAUGGAGUUUUUACACAUCAGGAUGUCAAACAAAUAGAUGGCUUGUUGGCUACAUGUUCGCAUGGCAGAAGUCUGUGAUUGAUCCACCACCAAGACUAGGAGAUAAACAACUAGCAAAAACUUGGUAGGGUUGUUCUGAAGUCCCAGUGUUGUUUUCUAGGAACAUGGUGGUGUCAGAUACUUCCCCAGAGGAAUGCAAGGGGAGAGAGUAAUGGCUAGAACAUGUUCCUUGCUAUGAGGGAGGUGGAGAAGAAGAGGAGCCAAUCCUGCUGAUGGCAGAUUUUAAUAGAAUUCUUUGAAAUGUUACAGUUUGGUGACAACUUUUGGAGAAACUCUGACAACCACAUUUAAAGAGAUGCACUUAAAAUCACCUUCUUAAGAUAAGCAAGAUAUCACAGAAGGGAAACUCGGGAAGAAGAUGAGAACUUCCUUGUUGCUCUUCCUACUGACAUGCAUAAGAACUGAAGUCAGAAAGCUGAAAUAUUUCUCUGGACUUAACAGAUCCAGUCAAUAAUUUGUGAGGAAAGAACAUCACCUCUUUCACAUUGUUGAAAAUUCUCACACUGUUGGAUGUUGGAUUAUUUAUGUACUACGCUGUAGCUAGAAGGAUUCCCAAAGAGGUUUAAUCAACAGCAAUCAAAAGAGACAACUCCUGCCAUUGGAUUUAAAAUCCAAAAUGACAGAAAGCUAAACCAUGGUUUACUUUAACUGUGAUUUUAUGCCACAGUAGUGGGUUCACAUAUCAUACUGAGCUUUAAACCAUGGUUUUAAAACCACAACACAGUAAAAAAAAACAAAACCCACAUUAUCACUUCAAUGUUGUAUGAAUCAACCCCCCCCCCAAAAGGCGGGGGGGGAGGGAGGGAGGAAGGGGGAAGGAAGAAAACUGUAGGUGCCGAUUCUUAAUGUUAUAUAGAUCCUAUAACAAUGAGAUGUAAUCCAGAUAUAAUAGUUGCAAGGUAAGAGUUGCCUGGAAUGAUAGUCUGGAAAUUGCUGGUUUUAUUUUCCAGACUGCCUGGAAUGGAAACAGCUCAAUGAGAAGCAUAAACCACAAUUGCCAGUCUCUUAGCUGAGUUAAUGCUGUGGUCCUGCUUCUAUCUCUCCCGUUGCUGCAGCAUGGUGGAAUGGCUGCUGGAUAGCCAGUGGUGAAAAGACCAAUCCCAAUGGUCAUGAUGGCCCUGCUUUUCUUUGGUCCCUCUGCCACAACUUGGUGGCUUCUGUUCAGGUUGCUCUGCUAGGCUACCAGUGUCAUUUUUUAUCUAUGCUGAGUGCGUGCUAGGUUGUAUCUGGGAAUUUUGUGUGUAGCUUAAGAUUUUAUAUCCAAUUUUUCAUUGCGAAUGACUGCAUGGUCUAGCAUACUACCAUCUUUAGAAGAGCUCUGGGUAACUAAAUUGAUACUGUCUUUUAAUUAAAAAAAAUCUGUUUUUGGAGUUUGUACAUUUUAUAAUGGUUGACUUUUAUAAAAUAUUUUAAUGAAGUUUUACUACUGUAAAUCUCUUUCAGGAUCUUUGUCACCCCAAAAUAGCUUGCAGUUUGGUCAGGAAGGAAGGAAGGCAGACAGGCAGACUGCAAAAGGGGGCAGGAAAUGAAACAGACACCAUGACAUCAUAAUAUAAACCCUCUGAUCUAUGUCCAUGCGUCCAACAUCAAGAUGCACAUUUAAAAGGACUAGGUUUGGAUUGUGAUGUCACAAUGCAUGUUUCACCAUUAUUUCAUCAUCUGAUCUGAAGUAGACAUUGUAAGACAGGCCUGAUUACUCUCUGGACAAAGAGGGCUAGAUUAAAAGAAAGUUACACCAAAUAUGUUGGUAUUUUCAUGGAGAAAGGGUAGAAAUAGGCACCUGUGGGAUAGUUUAUAUUGCUGAUGAAAAUUGUAUAAGUUCUGGUAAUCAUCAACAUGAUUUCAGAUUUUAUAACUGUGUGGAAAGUUGACAGUUCAAACAAUGGAAAUACUGAAAGAGAAUCUCAUAUGAGUCAAGGACAACUGAUUGCCCAAUCCAUAAGCAAAUAGAUCUCUAAGCUUAUUACUAAGCUAAUGGAGAGGUAAAAGUUAUUAUGUUCAAGUACACACACGUCAUGCAAAAUAGCCACAAGCUCACACAGACCUUAUGUGUUAUCUCAGCUCAAACAGCAACAAUACAAUUAACUGAGAAUUAUAAGUCUAAUCAUAACCAGAGGAACCAUUUUAUUUCACUUAGCAGGAUGUAUGGGAAUCACCAAAUAAGCUAAGGUUACAAUCCUCCACACAUUUGCUGAGAGCAUGCCCAGCUGAAACUUAAUACCUGCUUCUGCAUGCAUAUAAAUGAUACCGAAAUCUACCUUAUCACCUAUUUCUGAGGCAUCAGGACCCAAGAGCACAGUUAUAAAUUGAAAGGCUCAUGCAACCUAUGCACAUUUGACUUAUUUCUACUUAAGAAUCUAUACUGUUAUGGCUUUAGGUUUCCAGGAAGUUCUUUCUUACUCCCUAAUAAGACCUUAGGUAUCACCAUGAUAGGAGAGAACAGUGGAAGGAGAAUAAUACACUAUCCUAAUGGGAUAAUGUGUGAACUCUGGACAGCCAAGAGAAUCAAACUGUAGAUGAUACUGAAAGCUAUAAAGAAGCUGAGAAUUCUUGGUGUGGAUUUCACCUAGUGUUACCAGUCCAUUCUGUUGCCUGUUCCUUGAGUCAUGUAAGAUCUGAAUAUGUAUGCUUCCUUGUACCAUAAAACUGCAUGAUAUCUUCCUGCAUUAAUGCCAGGGCUUUACAGACAGAUCCUGCUCUCUUUCAGUCCGUAAGUGGGCCAUCAAACUGAAAUGAUUUGAUUUCAUCAAAAUAUAUGUCAAAAUAUUAGUCUUUAUAUCAUGCACUGAAAGCAAAAGUGCUUUGCUUAGGCUGUUUAUAUAAACUCUUUUCCUGGAAAUAUUUAAAUAUAUAGAUCCUUUACAGUUGGAAGGAGAGAAAAUCCAUAUAUUAUUAUGGGUUGGAUUCUUACUUUGUCAUGCUUAGAGCAGACUGACUAAAAUCAAUGGAACGUAGCUGAUGUAUUCAUUCUGUUUUAUCAAGUCUAAGCUAUAUCUAGUGAAAAUGUACUACUGUGAGAGUACUGUAUUGUAUUUAUACCAUUUUAAUCAAAAUGCUUGGCAUUUAUUCUUUUGAAUUUUUAAAAUUCUUCACAACAAUUACCAUUCUAGCAAUUUGAUCAUAUAGUAUGUCAAUAGCAUUAUUCCAAUAUUAUAGGGUGCACAGCUGUGGCGUGAUAGAUUAAUAAAUGUAAAGGAAAAGAUGUUCUUUUCCUAAUGUCUAUGUAGUUUUCUUGGCAACAGUUUGGAAGUGGUUGGCGAUGACCUUCUUUAUCUUCCCAAUCUAGCCUAUAACCCUGAGAUUUCCUGGUUUUCUGCCUGCCAUCCAAAGGCUACAGUAAGUGUAGGACUAAGGACUACUAAGAUCAAUUAAUGUUGCUACUGACUGAGUACUAGAUUACUGCCUACAUUUAAAUUAAUUGUGACCUAACUUCAAUUAUCUCCUUGUGAUAUUUUAGUUGUAUAUGCACACCAUCUUAAUCAGGACAGUGGAAGCAAAGGCAAGACCAAAAAUAUUUGUUUGCCUAACUGGAAGUUUCUGUUCACCUUGUUGAGUUGGUUUGAGUUUGUAGGAUGCUGUGGAUCAAGAAAUAACUCUUUGAGUUUCACUUUGUUGGAUGAAUUAACACUACAAGAAUUUAUUUCAGCUUUCUAAAUCCAUUGAUUGACUGACCUUCAGUUGCAGGAAGAUUAUACCUUCUCUAAACAAUUAUCCUAGGACAGAGUAAUCAUGAGAAGUUUCUAUGGCCUGUGUUCUUAGUGAUGUGAAUUGGAUUUUAAUGUUACAAAAUAUAAUUGUUUAACCUGCUGACCAUUAAAGGAUUAAGCUUCCUUUAACUCUUUGAAUUUAAUUUUUUAAAAUUCCUUAGUGAAUAUUCCACCAUGGCUAGAAAGAAUGGGAUUAUCUUGACAAUUACUCAGAUCCAAUAAGGAUGAAAUGAGAAUAUUUUAGACAUUAAACGUGUUGCCAAAAAUUUUCCAUUAGUCAAUCUUUCUAGAUAUUGUACAUAAGUUCUCCUUAACUUAGUGUGUUUUUCUUCAGGAUAAUUUAGUUGCUACUGUCAGGAGCAACUAUUCAUUCAACUAUGAUGCAAUUAUGCUUUUCUAGACUCUUCUUUUGACCACAUGUUACUUAUCCAAAGAACAAAGAGUAGCUCUUGCUAGUUCUGCACAUUAGGGUCCCAGUCAACCCCCAGAAGAUACCAAUAGUGGCAACUGGAAGCCUGUGCAGCAUCAGAACUCAGUAUCAGCAGGCGAAGGCAAAACCCCACAGAACAUCCUCAAAAGAAGGAAGGGAUCCCUACUCUUUGGCUAGGUGGAGCAGAAAGAAAUAGCAGAGAAGCCAAUGUGGGCACGUUAAGAUGGGGAAAAUGGGCAGGGAAGGGUCGUCUCAGAAGGCACUUUGCCCAGGCAGGCAUAAAAGUGGCAAUGCUCCUGUUUUGUUUUUGUUUUUAAAUAACUCCAUUCUCUUACUUUCCUUAUUGGGAACAUGAAGAAAACCAGGUAAUAUGAAUUAUCCUUUUCUGUGUUAUGUCUCUACCAUAAAGCUGAAAUCUAGUUUAUACCUACUAUUUAUAUCUAACCAUUUAUACCUAACCAUUCCAUUAUUCCAUAAUCAGUGGUAUGCAUAAUUUAACACUGUAAGACUGUGAAGAACUAGUCAAGUUAUGUGAGGGUCAUUGAAUGGAAGAUUAUAUUCUAGCUCAUUAAGUUUGUGUGUUUUGAUCUUUGUAUUUCUGCUUUGAGCCAGUAUUUCAUACAACUGCUUUGAUUUGAUUGUAGGACCUAGUGAACCCGUUUUUCAGUAAACUGGUGCAUUUGUCUUUCAAAGAGAAGAUAAUGCAAACACAAAUGAUCUUCCUGUUCUGAUGUGCCAACAUAGUGAAAAAUGUGUGUUCUCCAACUUGUUCCUGAGAGUCACCCAACGUGCCUGGCAACUUUCUAUGUGAACUCAGUACAAACCCUCUAGACAAGUUCCAGAAUCUCUGUAAUUGUAUAGAUCAGUGUUGUCCAAACUUGGCCACUUUAAGAUGAGUGGACUUCAACUCCCAGAAUUCCCCAGCACUGGUAUAGAUGUUUUGUCUUUAAGCUGGAUUUGGACUGAACAACCCUUCAAAAGGGCAUUCUUUUACAAAAGGCUGUUAAGUAGGAUGCAUGGCUAGACAACUUUCCACAAAGGUUGGGCUGUCAAAGUUAAAUUAAUUUCUACUAUAAAAGACCCAUAAGAAAGGUUAGCAAAGGCCUUGCAUCUUCACCUCAAUAGUUAGCACUUGUCUAACUAUUGCUGCUGCAAUAGUCUGAGUAGGCACCAUUCAUUUUCCCUACAAUGGCAAAUUGUAUUCUAUUUCUGUUAAACUUACACAAAUUGUUCUCCAGUGAGUACCUGUACAUCCAUACAUCUUGUGCUGUGUCUCUUUUUUGUUCAGUAAUAUGUAGGAGGCCCCCUAGCAGAAAUAAUUUCUCAAAGGCAGAACAUUCAAAAGAUAUCUCUGUUCCUCAAAAAUAAUCUGCCGACGUUAGGUUGCCCAAACCUUACCAGCGGGUCUUCCCCUCCACACAAUAUGGCAAAGAAACCCCAUGGCCAAAGCUAGGCUUUCUAUCAGCCACUCUUGAGUGAUCUGCUUCCUUUGGAGUGACACGGUACAGCAGCAUUCCCAAGCCUGCCAGUCCUCAGAAGUGUUGGACUCAUUUUCCAACAGCCUGGGACACACAGAAGUGACGUCUAACACAUCUAGAGGGCACCAGGCUGGUAGAUAGUGGGUCAUGACUGGGCUGCUUUCCAGUAAUUUAACUGAUACGUUUCUGCUCAGUUUUAACAACAUGCACUAACUAACAACCGUGCAUAUUCCAAAUGAGUAACUGCAGAAGUGAUACAGGGUUGUCUAAUUUUAUUUUAUUUAUUUUAUAUUUUGUUAGCCCUAGGAACUACCAGUAUGCUCCCUUUAUCAUUGGCAAAUUGUUCCUUGUAUAGUGCCUGUGUGAAUGGUAACUAAGGAAGAACUAAAUGGUAACUAACCAACCCUGGGGGUGGCUAGCACCUUGAAGAUGCUCCUAUAUGUUAACAUCUUACUGA